CCAAUAGCGUAUAUUAAAGUUGUUGCAGUUAAAAAGCUCGUAGUUGAAUUUCGGGAUCAAUACGUCGGUCGUGCUUCGGUACGUACUGGCGUCAUUGAUUUCUCCCUUCUGACGAACCAUGAUGUCAUUAAUUUGGUGUCGUGGAGAAUCAGGACUGUUACCUUGAAAAAAUUAGAGUGUUUAUAGCAGGCUAACGCUUGAAUACAUUAGCAUGGAAUAAUGAAAUAGGACGUUCGACCCUAUUUUGUUGGUUUCUAGGAUCGACGUAAUGAUUAAUAGGGAUAGUUGGGGGCAUUAGUAUUCAAUUGUCAGAGGUGAAAUUCUUGGAUUUAUUGAAGACUAACUACUGCGAAAGCAUUUGCCAAGGAUGUUUUCAUUAAUCAAGAACGAAAGUUAGGGGAUCGAAGACGAUCAGAUACCGUCGUAGUCUUAACCAUAAACUAUGCCGACUAGGGAUCGGAUGAUGUUAAUUUUUUAAUGACUCAUUCGGCGCCUUACG
rnacentral:rRNA from 1 species